ensembl:miRNA Gm22183 predicted gene, 22183
CAUGUGUGUAUGUGUGUGGGUGUGUGUACAUAAAUGUGUAUUUAUCUAUAUACAUAUAUACAUACACACAUAC